rnacentral:rRNA from 1 species
AUUGAACGCUGGCAGCAGGCCUAACACAUGCAAGUCGAGCGGUUGAGGUAGCUUGCUACCGAUGCAGCGGCGAACGGGUGAGUAAUACAUGGGAAUCUGCCUGGUAGUGGGGGACAACGUCUCGAAAGGGACGCUAAUACCGCAUCCGCCCUACGGGGGAAAGGGGGGGAUCUUCGGACCUCUCGCUAUCAGAUGAGCCCAUGUCAGAUUAGCUAGUUGGUGGGGUAAAGGCUCACCAAGGCGACGAUCUGUAACUGGUCUGAGAGGAUGAUCAGUCACACUGGAACUGAGACACGGUCCAGACUCCUACGGGAGGCAGCAGUGGGGAAUAUUGGACAAUGGGCGCAAGCCUGAUCCAGCCAUGCCGCGUGUGUGAAGAAGGCCUUAGGGUUGUAAAGCACUUUCAGUGGGGAGAAAGGUUAUUCACCUAAUACGUGAGUAAAUUGAUGUUACCCACAGAAGAAGCACCGGCUAACUCCGUGCCAGCCGCCGCCGUAA